rnacentral:rRNA from 1 species
AACGAACGCUGGCGGCAUGCCUAACACAUGCAAGUCGAACGAGACCUUCGGGUCUUGUGGCGCCCGGGUUCGUAACGCGUCGGAACCUUCCUUUAUGUUCGGAAUAACUCAGAGAAUUUUGAGCCAAUCCCGAAUGAUGUCUUCGGACCAAUGAUUUAUCGCCUUUAGAUGUUCCCGCGUUGGAUUAGCUAGUGGUUGCGGUAAAGGCAUACCACGGCGACGAUCCAUAGCUGGUCUGAGAGGAUGAUCAGCCACACUGGGACUGAGACACGGCCCAGACUCCUACGGGAGGCAGCAGUGGGGAAUAGUGGACAAUGGGCGAAAGGCUGAUCCAGCAAUGCCGCGUAAGUGAUGAAGGCCUUAGGGUUGUAAAGCUCUUUUACCCGAGAUGAUAAUGACAGUAUCGGGAGAAUAAGCCCCGGCUAACUCCGUG